UACGGGGCGCAGCAGGCGCGAAAACUUUACAAUGCGGGCAACCGUGAUAAGGAAACCCCGAGUGCCAGCACAGGCUGGCUGUCCGCCAGUGUAAAAAACUGGUGAAGAAAGGGCCGGGCAAGACCGGUGCCAGCCGCCGCGGUAAUACCGGCGGCUCGAGUGGUGGCCGCUUUUACUGGGCUUAAAGGGUCCGUAGCUGGAUCCGCAAGUCCCUUGAGAAAUCCAUCGGCUUAACUGAUGGGCGUUCAGGGGAU
rnacentral:rRNA from 1 species